CCUACGGGUGGCAGCAGUGAGGAAUAUUGGUCAAUGGGCGCAGGCCUGAACCAGCCAAGUCGCGUGAAGGAUGACUGCCCUACGGAUUGUAAACCUCUUUUGUAAAGGAAUAAAGUGAGCCACGUGUGCCUUUUUGUGUGUACUUUAUGAAUAAGCAUCGGCUAACUCCGUGCCAGCAGCCGCGGUAAUACGGAGGAUCCGAGCGUUAUCCGGAUUUAUUGGGUUUAAAGGGAGCGUAGAUGGGUUGUUAAGUCAGUUGUGAAAGUUUGCGGCUCAACCGUAAAAUUGCAAUUGAUACUGGCAGCCUUGAGUACAGUAGAGGUAGGCGGAAUUCGUGGUGUAGCAGUGAAAUGCUUAGAUAUCACGAAGAACUCCGAUUGCGAAGGCAGCCUACUAAACUGUAACUGACACUGAUGCUCGAAAGUGUGGGUAUCAAACAGGAUUAGAUACCCUAGUAGUC
rnacentral:rRNA from 1 species